AAGGAAGGAAGGAAGGAAGGAAGGAAGGAAGGAAGGAAGGAAGGAAGGAAGGAAGGAAGGAAGAGUUACAAAACGGUGAUGUCACAGCGGACACGGGAAGAACUACACGAGGACACGCUGGACAUCUCAAGUGCAGUACUGGGUCACAAAGGCAAAGGUGAACGUUGCAGCCUGAGAUCUGCUGAACCCAAAAACACUGAAGACUGAUAAUCAAGAGACAAGUGGCACUAUUUGCUCAGAGGGCUGAGGUUCUGACCACACGGGAGACAGAGUGGAACUAUUGAAGAACUGGAAAUAAUUCUGUGCUGUAUUACCUUCUUCUACUCUGCCACAUGAACAGUUCAUAAGCUCCCUGACCCACAAAACUGGCCAUCCACCAAAUCUGGCUAUCCAGGAACUCUGAACAUGACUGAAAGCCUGUUGGGAGCUAAACUGACACCAUGACCUGAAUGACACUUGCAGCUGAAGCCAGGUGGGACAGACCAGUCCAUGGAGUAAGAGUGCUUCUAUGAACCCUUGGUCCUGCAGAAGUCUUCUGGGAAUGUGUGGAAAAUACAUCUCUUUGGACAAGUGAAGCAGGCACAUAACACCACAAUGCCUUGUGCUGGUGUUUGUGCCAGUCAGGAGAGUUUACUGUACUAGACAGCCUGCUGGGAAAUGACCUUGGCAGGGUGGUGAGGAACAUCAAACAUGUAGAAGUCUGGUGAUGGGCACUAAAUAAAGCCUGUCCCCACAAUGUUGUCUCAUCUAUUGCACAUGUGAAGAAGCUUUUACAGCUGAGCUCUUUUGAUGGAAAGGGCAAGCAGAGAUUAUCUAGUGUGCCUUUCUCAAUCUGUGUGGCUGGCCUCCCAGGGAAACGCUCUGAUCUUUUCCUAGUACAGCACGUGUGUGUAACUCUGGGGCAAAUAAGAAAUGGAAUGUGGGUCAUUUAUUUGUUUAGUUCUGUGCAGACCCCCAACAGCCUGUGCUGGCUACUCAGUGCUGAAUGCUUAUUAUUCAA